rnacentral:rRNA from 1 species
UGAGCUUGAUCCUGGCUCAGAUUGAACGCUGGCGGCAUGCUUUACACAUGCAAGUCGAACGGUAACAGGGAGCUUGCUCCGCUGACGAGUGGCGAACGGGUGAGUAAUACAUCGGAAUGUACCCAGUCAUGGGGGAUAACGCUUCGAAAGGAGUGCUAAUACCGCAUACGCCCUGAGGGGGAAAGUGGGGGACGCGCAAGCGCCUCACGUGAUUGGAGCAGCCGAUGGCUGAUUAGCUAGUUGGUAGGGUAAAGGCCUACCAAGGCAACGAUCAGUAGCGGGUCUUAGAGGACGAUCCGCCACACUGGAACUGAGACACGGUCCAGACUCCUACGGGAGGCAGCAGUGGGGAAUCUUGGACAAUGGGCGAAAGCCUGAUCCAGCAAUGCCGCGUGCGUGAAGAAGGCCUUCGGGUUGUAAAGCGCUUUUGUCGGGGAGGAAAUCCUAGUCUCUAAUAAAGGCUGGGGAUGACAGUACCGAAG